GGGUCUGGCUCUCGAGAUUCGGAGAGCGGUGUCUCUUCGAUUUUUGGGAAAGUAAUCAUGUUGGGAGUCUGGCUCUCGAGAUUCGGAGGGCGGUGCCUCUUCGAUUUUGGAGCAAGCAAUCUUGUUGGGAGUGUUUUCUCGAAUGUGAGUAAAGGUUGGGCAUGUUUGCUAGUCUACCUUGCCACGAAGCACAGAGGUUGACACACAGGGACUUUCCAAUUAUCCAGCAAUGGUACUGUUCCUUUACCCUCUCUUCGAUUUUUGAGAAAGUAGUCAUGUUGGGAGUCUGGCUCUCGAGAUUCGGAGGACGGUGCCUCUUCGAUUUUGGAGCAAGCAAUCUUGUUGGGAGUGUUUUCUCGAAUGUGAGUAAAGGUUGGGCAUGUUUGCUAGUCUACCUUGCCACGAAGCACAGAGGUUGACACACAGGGACUUUCCAAUUAUCCAGCAGUGAUACUGUUCCUUUACCCUUGUGGGUAAUAAUAUGGGGUAGCUAGACCUUCAAAAUUUAUGUGUCUAAACUUUGUUAGUGCUGUUUCUUUGCUAUUCUUUUACCCGUUCUUGGUCAGAGCGAUGUAGUGGGAAGCUGCAAGCUUCACGUGCUCAACUUUGGCAGAGAACUUUGGCAAAGUUAUCUGUGAUACACCAUGAGCUACUAUUGCGUGUGGGAAGUGGGUGAUUGAACAGUAAGACUCAUGUGCUUUCUACUUCACCAGAAGUCUUCGACAGAAUGCCCAUAAUUUCCGCAAAGCUGAGUGUGCGUGUGACAGGUGCUGCCAAGGCUGGAAAAGUAGGUGCCUCUUCGAUUUCUGAGAUCGGCCCUCGUGGUCUCUGAGCAGCCCAACUUUUGAGAAAGCAAGCGCCUCUUCGAUUUCUGAGAUCGGCCUUCGUGGUCUUUGAGCAGCCCAACUUUUGAGAAAGCAGACGCCUCUUCGAUUUCUGAGAUCGACCCUCGUGGUCUCUGAGCAGCCCAGCUUUUGAGAAAGCAAACGCCUCUUCGAUUUCUGAGCAGGCGCCUCUUCGAUUUCUGAAGCUCCGUCGAGUGCAGAUUUUUAUAGGGGCUGGCAUUAAGUUCCAAAGCACACUUGAAUCUCCACCAGUAGAAGCUCCAUUCUUGCACUUCUAAGAUCUUGAUUUGUUCCGACCUCUUCUCUCUUCAACACCUUUGAAAAUGUCUGGCCCCUCCGACCGUCGUUUUGACUUUGAACCUUGUUGAAGAGGCAGCCCCGCCUUCUCCAGACAACAUAUGGCGCCCAUCCUUCGUCUCCCCUACUGGUCCUCUUACCGUUGGGGAUUCCGUGAUGAAGAAUGAUAUGACCGCUGCGGUGGUGGCCAGGAACCUUCUCACUCCCAAAGAUAACAGACUACUUUCCAAACGGUCUGAUGAGUUAGCUGUUAAGGAUUCUCUGGCUCUCAGUGUUCAGUGUGCAGGUUCUGUGUCUAAUAUGGCCCAACGCCUAUUUGCUCGAACCCGCCAAGUUGAAUCAUUGGCGGCUGAAGUGAUGAGUCUCAAACAGGAGAUUAGAGGGCUCAAGCAUGAGAAUAAACAGUUGCACCGUCUCGCACAUGACUAUGCUACAAACAUGAAGAGGAAGCUUGGACCAGAUGAAGGAAUCUGAUGGUCAGGUUUUACUUGAUCAUCAGAGAUUUGUGGGUUUGUUCCAAAGGCAUUUAUUGCCUUCGUCUUCUGGGGCUGUACCGCGUAAUGAAGCUCCAAAUGAUCAACCUCUGAUGCCUCCUCCUUCUAGGGUUCUGUCCAGUACUGAGGCUCCGAAUGAUCCCCCUCCGGUGCCUUCUCUUUCUGGGGCUCUACCGACUGCUGAGACUUCUCCUAAGCAACCUUUGUGAAGGCUCCCUCUUGUUUGUUUAUUUUGACUCAUGUAUAUGUACAUAUUUGUAGCUUAUCGGGGAUAUCAAUAAAUAAGCUUUCCUUCAUUUCAACGUAUUGUGUUAAAUACACCAAAGCCUUCUUCGCUAAGUUCUUUGAAUUUUCUUUUUGUUGGAGCUUUGUGAGUGGAGCAUGUAGGUUGAGGUAGUGUUCCCUUAAUUUCCUGAGUGAGGAAAACUUCUCGGUUGGAGACUUGGAAAAUCCAAGUCACUGAGUGGGAUCGGCUACAUGAAUCUUAGAACGCCAUUGUGCUCGGUCCUGUGUCAUGUCCUUCGUUAGAUCCAAGUACUCUAAGUCUUUUCUUAGAGUCUCUUCCAAAGUUUUCCUAGGUCUUCCUCUACCCCUUCGGCCCUGAACCUCUGUCCCAUAGUCGCAUCUUCUAAUCGGAGCGUCAGUAGGCCUUCUUUGCACAUGUCCAAACCACCGUAACCGAUUUUCUCUCAUCUUUCCUUCAAUUUCGGCUACUCCUACUUUACCCCGGAUAUCCUCAUUCCUAAUCUUAUCAUUUCUCGUGUGCCCACACACAUCCAACGAAGCAUCCUCAUCUCCGCUACACCCAUUUUGUGUACGUGUUGAUGCUUCACCGCCCAACAUUCUGUGCCAUACAGCAUCGCCGGCCUUAUUGCCGUCCUAUAAAAUUUUCCCUUGAGCUUCAGUGGCAUACGGCGGUCACACAACACGCCGGAUGCACUCUUCCACUUCAUCCAUCCAGCUUGUAUUCUAUGGUUGAGAUCUCCAUCUAAUUCUCCGUUCUUUUGCAAGAUAGAUCCUAGGUAACGAAAACGAUCGCUCUUUGGUAUUUCUUGAUCACCGAUCCUCACCCCUAACUCGUUUUGGCCUCCAUUUGCACUGAACUUGCACUCCAUAUAUUCUGUCUUUGAUCGGCUUAGGCGAAGACCUUUAGAUUCCAACACUUCUUUCCAAAGGUUAAGCUUUGCAUUUACCCCUUCCUGAGUUUCAUCUAUCAACACUAUAUCGUCUGCGAAAAGCAUACACCAAGGAAUAUCAUCUUGAAUAUGUCCUGUUAACUCAUCCAUUACCAACGCAAAAAAGGUAAGGACUUAAGGAUGAGCCUUGAUGUAAUCCUACAGUUAUGGGAAAGCUUUCAGUUUGUCCUUCAUGAGUUCUUACGGCAGUCUUUGCUCCUUCAUACAUAUCCUUUAUAGCUUGGAUAUAUGCUACUCGUACUCCUUUCUUCUCUAAAAUCCUCCAAAGAAUGUCUCUUGGGACCCUAUCGUACGCUUUCUCCAAAUCUAUAAAGACCAUGUGUAAAUCCUUUUUCCCAUCUCUAUAUCUUUCCAUCAAUCUUCGUAAGAGAUAGAUUGCCUCCAUGGUUGAGCGCCCUGGCAUGAACCCGAAUUGGUUGUCCGAAACCCGUGUCUCUUGCCUCAAUCUAUGCUCAAUGACUCUCUCCCAGAGCUUCAUUGUAUGACUCCAAAUAUCACUUGUAUAAAAAUAAAAAUACAAAAUAAAAUAAAAUUAAAAAAAAAAGAAAAAAAAAAGAAAGAGACAGUUUGUUUCCAGGUUGUGGAUAUUCCAUUAAGUGAACAAUCAAUCUCACCAGACUGAAUCAAUAAUUCAUCAAGGUCAUGAAACAUAAUGGAAAAUUAAAAUUAUUAAACCAUGUGUGGAUGUCCUAUAUGCCUAUAUGCAUCAGGCAACGUAAACAAAAAUUUAUCUCAGAAAUCCAUAGAAGUUAAAAAAGGAAAUGGGAAAAAAGUUACAGAAGUAGUUUCAAGUUGAUGUGCCGCAGAUCCUUCCAGCUUUGCAGGGUAAUCCAAGUCUUCAUCCAGAGGAAAAUAAUUUGCUAUCUGGAAAAAAAACAAGAGAGAGGUUUUAAGACAUUUAAAAAGGAAAAAGUGGUAGCUAGUCAAGAAAACAAGAUUAACUGGAAAAUUAAGAAAAAAAGGUAACAACUCAACAAACAAUGAGAACUCUCAGGAAUAGAAGUCACCUCAUCACGAAUAUGUGUUCGAGCACGGAAAGUUAACCGCUCAUGAACAUCGGCAAGAAUUCUCUCUAAUGUAGGACGUAGACCAGCUAAUGAUUCAGUCCUCCGACUUAACUGUUCACCUAGGACUUCAGCUUUCAAUAUAUCAACAAGUUCACAAAGAAAAUCAACAUUUGUUUCAUGAAUAAGUUUUGGCCGCAGUGUAUCAUAUAAAUAUGUAGACCUGCAUGAAUUAUCACCAAAAGGAGGUUAUUAUAUAGUUUAAAGUGUGCAUAAACCAAUCAACCAGCCAACCUCCAUACUACAAUGUAACAGCUUAACAAGGAAUGAAGUGGAAAGGACCAAACCAAUCAAGCUUCAUUCACUUUUGGCACAUGUAGUUUAAAAGAGAUUGCCUAACCCAUUAUUACAUGUCAGCCUCUCAAGAAAGCAGAAAACGAGAGAAAAGAACUGAAAACAAAAAAUAUAAUGGGACCUACAUAGGAUCUAUCAAUGGAGCCAAACUUGAAACGUCCUCUGCAGAAGAUGGAAAAAAAUGAACAAAAAGUUGGUGCUCUAGCUGGCAGACCUGCAAUAAAUAGUGGUUUCAAUUACAAUGGAAACUUUGCUGUCCUACAACAUAAAUGUUCACAAUGUAUGCAGCUCAAAUUCAUACAUGAGAAUAAGUUGCAUAUCACAUUACAUCAAGCAUCAAAGAUACUGCCCGCUAUCAUUAAAGAGGUCAGGGCCAAUCACCCCAUCCUCACCUUAUAUUCAAUGAUAGACAAAUCUUUCGCUUGUAUUUGUUUUUAAGGAGUCUUUCCUCAAUGAACGUCCUUGCAACAUUUAUAUCUUACCUGCAUUAGAUAUGCACAUCCAGAUCUAGUCAGUGAUGGCAAGGCCUCUUUCUUCGCGAAUUCGGAUAUUCGUUGAUGUACUAUACCUCUUACCUGAAAAUGCAUUAAAAAGGUGGAUUGAUUACAAGUCAUAAAAUGAAGGAAUGAAUUAGUACGGUAAACAACUAAUGAUCCUUUUCAAAAUAAAAAAAAUUUCAUCAGCUCACCAACGAAAGUCUCUGUUCACAGUAUAGUUUGUGGCAUUCUGUAAGGAUCUGAGUAUAUUCUUUCCUUGAUGCUCUGCUUUCAAUUUCCUCCAGCACUGGCUUAAGCUGCAAGGACUCUACUUGUUAGACAUCAAAACAAACAAGUGUGAAGUUAAAAACCAAAAGAACAGCGUUGCACACCAGCAUUCAAAAAGUAGGGUAGAACUUAAAAUGUUUUCCAGACACAUCUUGCUUUCAACUUUUCACACCCUGGCUGGUUAAAUGCAUUAAUCAAAUUAAUAGCAUCAUUAAUGUUACCUCACUUGCUGCUGCCUUGAAACGGACAUAUAUAACCGAUGCUUCUACACCCUCAGAAACAGAUGUGUUAUUGCCACCACUGCUCCGGAUAGCUGCUUGUACCUGAUGCAAGACAGUGUCCAUAAUUCAAAGCCAAGUAAUAUACAUUAAUGCAUAUUAAGACAGAAGUCUACUACGACGUGUUAAUGGUAAUUCAGUUCAACAAGUUAACAUUACCUGAGAAGAAGCACCUUUGAGAACUGAAAGUACAUGAGAACGAAUCAUUCCCAAGGCUCGAGACUGUACAAAACAAGUAAAUUAUAUAUUAUUGAAGGUCAAAUUAAUCUUACUGGAAGACAAUCUCUGUUCUAUACUAUUCACCUAAUCAACGCUCUUGCAAAUUAUACCUGCAAUUGUCGAAAUUUGAGCAGGUAAACACUGGAUUCUGCAUACUGUGGAUUGCUUUCGACGUACCUAAAGUAUGCACAAAUUGUUUGAAACCAGUAAGUUCUAUCCAACAAAUAUAUCUUUAUCAAAUGCUUAAUGCUUCCUAGUAUGAAUUACAAACUUCCAAGGAUUUUAACUGAAUAGUGUCUGAAGCAUAGAAUUGCACACAGUUACUAACAAAGAAGGUAGAGAACUUACGAUAUGCACUCAUCAAGGCGUUUGAGAAGAGGGAGAAAGUUCUCGUGCAGAACAUUCAUGUUUGGAGAAUAAAAAUUGGUAGUAAUCUGCACACAGUUGAAAAAUUAAACAUGAAUUAUAUAUAACAUACUAAUAGGAUGAAUAUAUAAAUAUAUUAAGUGGUUUGUAUUACAUACACAAUUUGUGCAUCGUGAUAUUUUCUCACGCAUCCGAACAAAAAAAAGAAGGUAACAUCCUUGGCACAAAGCUUCAAAGUAUAUUAACUUCAAUGUAACACUAAGUAAUGCCUGAUAAGGAGAAUUCAUACUAAGGAGAAACUGACUCAGGCAGAUUUUUUAAAACUUAAAAAGCUUUGGAAAAAGAAUCAAUUAAAUUGUUAGUUCAAAAAUAAAAGUUUAUCCAAGCUGCUAUGCAUACCACAUAUAUUUAACAAAACCACAACGUCAGCAAACAAAAUAUCUCUAGGUAAGGUAGAUUCAAACCUUACAUUCUCCAAUUCAUCAAAGUAGUUGAGCUUACUACGGAGUGCUUCUGAAAACUCAAUCAGCCGUUGUUUCUCUAUUAACUGCAAAUGAAAAAUGAGGAGACAUCAAGUUUUAAAUAUGUUUCCAGGCCCCCACAACCAUGAAUUAAACUGACACCAAGAAAGUGGACGAAAUAAAAGGGGUAACAUUAGAAAGAAAGUCCCACCAGUCUAUCGCAAGCAUCGUGAAGAGUUCUAGUCUUUGUUGCUACUGCUUGAUGCUGGUUCUGUAGUUCAUUAAACAACUCUAGGGUGUCAGCCACCUGCACAGAAAGGAACCAACUAUUUCAAACAAGCACAACAACUUAAAACAAAGAUGGCUUCAACGAUACCGAUAGACAUAUCGCCAUUACCUGACCGAGUAUGCCAUCACAUGUCUGAAUGCGUUCUGUCAAAGUGUCUACAUAGUGUCGAUACUUCUCCUCUGUCUAAAAUGUGAAAAAUUUAUGUGCAAUGAGCUUAUAUUUACACUUAAUUACAACAUAAGUUUGCUGCAAGAAUCGAUUACCAACCUCCGACUUCAAUGCUGCUUCAAGAUCUGUAAACCAUUUGUAAAACUACAAGUAGCAAAAGCUAAUUCAGUGAGAAAGCCAUCGAAUUGUAAUAGAUAACGGAAUGUGAUGGCGAAAAUGUACCUGAUUCGUAUUGACAAGAACAGCUUCAAUGGCAGCGGAGUGUUCCAAGCCGAAAGUGCUGUCCUUGGUGGAGACAGUUAGGCCAUUCUGGUGGCCUGUGGUGCCGUCCUGAGCCAAAUUGGGUGGGAACGGCCGCUCUGCAACGCAAUGCGAGAGCGUUGUAAUGGCCGCUUGCUGCUGCUCUGAUAACGGAGUUUUCUGCAGAGGAAAGAAAGCAAUACAUCAAAAUUCAUAUCGAGAGGAUCCGAUCCGAUCCGAAAGCAAGCUAAUUGCAAUAAAGUGGAGAAAAUUGCAGAAAACUCAGAUGUAGACGAAAAAGGAGUUGUUUCAAUGGAAAAACUGAAUCUAGGGCAACGAGGAGGAGAAAGAAAAAGAAGAAGAAGCACCUGUUCCCAGUGAGAUGCGAAGUUGUAGCCCUUGGAAAUGGCUCCAGAUUUCGGAACGCCGGGUUUGGUUGCCGCCAUUUCUCAAUCCUCUUCAACUCACAACAAAGUCGGUUCAUACAACGGUUGCAGUCGCCGUCGUCGUCAUCCACAAUUCGCCUCCUCUCCUCCGCCCUCUUUUCUCUCAGUCGAGUUUUUUCUCAGUCCUUCGCUCUCUCUUUCAACGAUAAAGAUUUAAACGCAAAGCAUUUAUGUUGGGUAGAACAAGACGACGUCGUCUUCGAGUUGGAAACAGUUGGUGCGAGCUCGCUUGUUUUUUUUGUCCGUCCCUUCACUUUUAUCCGCGUCAUUAUUUAAAGAUUAAAUUAUUUUACAUGUCAGCAUAUCGUAAUUUUAAAAUUGGAAAACAUAUUAUUAAUUUUUAAUAUUUUUUAAAAAAUAUUUUUCAUAUAUUUUAUUUUUAAUUUGUAUCCAUUUUUUAAGUCUGACUAAUAUUCUUUUUAGUUUUAACUAGAUAAAAUGCUCGCGCGUUGCUGCGGGACUUGAAUGCACGAAUCUUAACCACAUGAAUUAAACACAUGUAACUUGAAAAAAAAUUCAACAUAAUCAUGAACGAAAAAAAAAAGAUAGAUGAGUGAACGGUAUCAGUAAGAUAAGUAGUUCCGCUUUUACAUACAUUCAACCAAGCUGAUUACAAAAGAUAUGAUUGGAAAAAAUGCUCUGUUUCCUAACAAACAGGAGCAACAUGCAUUUAACACAUAUAGGGCACGUUUGUUUGACAGGAUUCGCUGGGACUGGACUGGACUAGACUAUAGUCCAGUGUUUGGUGGGUACCGGGAUUAGCUUUAAUGAGCUUAGGUGGGAUUCGCUAGGACUAAGGGGGGGCUUAGCCGUUCUUCACGAGGGAUCCCAAAUUCGGGCGGACUCGUAAGCCAGAGAAACCGCGUCUUCCCACAUCUCACAUCCCACAUCGUCCUCAUCUCUGCGUCUGCCCUCGUCGUCGUCCUUGCCGUGCUCCCACAUCGUCCUCACGCUCAUCGUCGUCCUUGCAUCUGGUCGCUGUCAUCUGCCUCUAGUCGGUAAGCUUCGAAUCUUGGAUUUUUUUUCGUCGAUUUGUGUGGAUUUGUUUGUGAUAUUAACUGAGGUUUAUUUGAUUUUGUUGUUUUGGGUUUGAGAAAUUCAUAAUAUACAAGUGGAUUUGCAAUUGAACAAAUUAGGGUUUUGUUAUUUAGGUGAAAUUGAGAUUAGAAUUUGGGGUUUUCAUAAGAUGAAAUUGAGAUUAGUCUCAGGUGUAUGCUCUCUGUGUGUGUGUUUUGUGUGUUACUGAAAAAAAAUUUGUCUGUGUGUUUUGUGUGUGUGUGUGAGUGUGUUUGUGUGUGUGUGUGUGUAUGUAAUCUGUGUAACCUGUGUAAUAUCUGUGUGUGUGUGAGUUGUGUGUGUAAAAUGUGUGUGUAAUCUAUCCGUGUGUGUGUGUGUAACCUGUGUUAUUUGCAGUGUGUGUGUGUGAGUUGUGUGUGUAAAAUGUGUGUGUAAUAUGUCCGUGUGUGUGUGUGUAAUCUGUUUUUGUGUGUAUGUGUGUGAGUUGUGUGUGUAAAAUGUGUGUGUGAGUUGUGUGUGUAAAAUGUGUGUGUGAGUGUGAGUGUGAGUGUAAGUGUUUGUGUGUGUGUGUGUGUUUGUGUGUGAGUGUGAGUGUAAGUGUGAGUGUGAGUGUGUGUGAGUGUGAGUGUGUGUGCAGUGUGUGUGUGUAUGCAGUGUGUGUGUGUGUGCAGUGUGUGUGUGAGUGUGUAUGCAGUUUGUGUGUGUGUGUGUGCAGUGUGUGUGUGAGUGUGUAUGCAGUGUGUGAGUGUGAGUGUGUGUGAGUGUGAGUGUGUGUGCAGUGUGUGUGUGUAUGUAGUGUGUGUGUGUGUGCAGUUUGUGUGUGUGUGCAGUUUGUGUGUGUAUGCAGUGUGUGUGUGUGCAGUUUGUGUGUGUGUGCAAUUUGUGUGUGUAUGCAGUGUGUGUGUGCAGUUUGUGUGUGUGUGUAUGUGUGUGUCCAGUGUGUGUGUGUGUGUGACUGUGUUCAGUGUGUAUGCAGUGUGUGUGUGCAGUUUGUGUGUGUGUGUGUAUGUAUGUAGUAUGUAUGCAGUGUGUGUGUGUAUGUAUGCAGUAUGUAUGCAGUGUGUGUGUAAGUGUGAGUGUGAGUGUGAGUGUGAGUGUGAGUGUGAGUGUAAGUGUGCAGUGUGUGUGUGUGUUUGUGUGUGAGUGUGAGUGUAAGUGUGAGUGUGAGUGUGUGUGAGUGUGAGUGUGUGUGCAGUGUGUGUGUGUGUGUAUGCAGUGUGUGUGUGUGUGUGUGUGCAGUGUGUGUGUGUGAGUGUGUAUGCAGUUUGUGUGUGUGUGUGCAGUGUGUGUGUGAGUGUGUAUGUAGUGUGUGCAGUGUGUGUGUGUGUCUAUGCAGUGUGUGCAGUGUGUGUGUGUGCGCAGUGUGUGUGUGUGUGUGUAUGUAUGCAGUAUGUAUGCAGUGUGUGUGUGUGUGUGUGUGUGUGUGUGUGUGUGUGUGUGUGCAGUGUGUGUGUGUGUGUGCAGUGUGUGUGUAUGCAAGUAUGUAUGCAGUGUGUGUGUGUGAGUAUAAAAACAGAGUGUGUGUGUGAGGGUAAGAGUUUGUUGCACUCUGUCCCCGUGUGUGUGUGUGUGUCACUGUGUUCAGUGUGUGAGUGUGAGUGUGUGUGAGUGUGAGUGUGUGUGCAGUGUGUGUGUGUGUGUAUGUAGUGUGUGUGUGUGUGCAGUUUGUGUGUGUGUGCAGUUUGUGUGUGUAUGCAGUGUGUGUGUGUGCAGUUUGUGUGUGUGUGCAAUUUGUGUGUGUAUGCAGUGUGUGUGUGCAGUUUGUGUGUGUGUGUAUAUAUGCAGUGUGUGUAUGUGUGUGUCCAGUGUGUGUGUGUGUGUGACUGUGUUUAGUGUGUGAGUGUGAGUGUGUGUGUGUGUAUGCAGUGUGUGUGUGUGUGUGCAGUGUGUGUGUGAGUGUGUAUGCAGUUUGUGUGUGUGUGUGCAGUUUGUGUGUGAGUGUGUAUGCAAUGUGUGUGUGUCUAUGCAGUGUGUGCAGUGUGUGUGUGUCUAUGCAGUGUGUGCAGUGUGUGUGUGUGUGCGCAGUGUGUGUGUGUGUGUAUAUAUGCAGUGUGUGAGUGUGAGUGUGUGUGUGUGCAGUGUGUGUGUAAGUGUGAGUGUGUGUGUAUGUAUGCAGUGUGUGUGUGUGUAUGUAUGUAGUAUGUAUGCAGUGUAUGUGUAUGUAUGCAGUAUGUAUGCAGUGUGUGUAAGUGUGAGUGUGUGUGUAUGUAUGCAGUGGUGUGUGUGUAUAUGUAUGCAGUGUGUGUGUGUAUGCAGUAUGUAUGCAGUGUGUGUGUGUGUGCAGUGUGUGAGUGUGAGUGUGUGUGUGUGCAGUGUGUAUGCAGGGUGUGUGUGUAGUGUAUGCAGUGUGUGUGUAAGUGUAGUGUAUGUAGUGUGUGUGUGUGUUUGUGUACUGUGUAUGCAGUGUGUAUGUAUGCAGGGUGUAUGCAGGGUGUAUGCAGUGUGUGUAUGUAUGUAUGCACUGUGUGUGUACUUGCAGGGUGUGUGUGUGUAGUGUAUGCAGUGUAUGUGUGUAGUGUAUGUAGUGUGUGUAGUGUAUGCAGUGUAUGUAGUGUGUGUAUGUAUGUACUGUGUUUGCAGUGUGUAUGUAUGUACUGUGUAUACAAUGUGAAUGUUUUGUAUUGUGUGGGGUUGAUGCUGAAUUGCAAUUUGUUGUGGUUGUUGGUUGCAGAGAAGAGGAGCAUAAACGGAAGGCUAAGGCUAAGGCUACUGCAUUACAGGUGUCCUUUAAUUUCCCUUUUCACAUGCAAUGCCUAGCAAUGAUAGCAAUCCUCAUACUAGUGUUCUUAGACACAUGUUUAUAGAUGUAUAAGAGUAGAACAUUUUGAAUAUGAUGCCUCGGGUUAAUGAAAACUUUUUUUUUUUCAACGCCAUAUGUAUAUUUGUUGCCUCGGGUUAAUGAUUUAGUUAAUUUGUUUUUUUUGUUUUUUUUUUUGUUUGGAUAGAUAUGGAUCGAAGGAAGCUUUUAUUGAUCUUAUUGUUAGAGAUGUCUUAUUUGGAAACAAUUUGUAUUUGUACGAUUCUUGUGGUGAUGAUGCUACGUGGCAAACAGAGACAUGUUGAACGACCCACAUUGACUAACCGUUCACUUAUUAGACGAGAGAUUAGUUUGUGUUAUCUGAAUGGUAUAAUAGGGAAUACUGAUACUGAAUGUGUUAACGAAUUGAGAAUGGAUAGAAGGACUUUUGGCAUAUUAUGCGACUUACUUCGUCAAGAUGGGAGGGUAAAAACUGAUGGUUUGGUGUCUGUAGAGGAACAGGUGUGUAUGACUUUACAAAUAUUAGCACAUCAUACUAAGAAUCGUAGUGUUGGCGGUAGAUUUUAUAGGUCGGGAGAGACUAUAAGUAGGUAUUUCAAUAGCGUAUUGCAAGGAAUUUUGCGAUUACAAGGUUUCCUACUAAAAGUCCCACAGCCUGUGCCUAUUGAUUCUACAGAUGCUAGGUGGCGAUGUUUUAAGGUAUGAUGAGAAAUAUUUUUCAUUUUCCUUAAGCUUUAACUCUUCAUUCCCUUUGUAUAAAUUAACAAAAAGUUUUUUAUUUUUUAUUUUUAAGAAUUGCUUGGGAGCAUUGGAUGGAACACACAUUGAUGUGCAUGUACCUGAAAUUGACAAACCAAGAUACCGAACAAGAAAGGGUCGAGUCGCAACUAAUGUGUUAGGUGUGUGUUCAGGAGAUAUGCAGUUCAUAUAUGUGUUUCCGGGGUGGGAGGGUUCCGCAUCAGACUCUAGAGUGCUACAUGAUGCAAUUAGUAGGCCUAAUGGUUUUAAGGUACCAGCGGGUAAGAUUAUUACUUAGUCUCAACUUUCUAAGUUAGGUUUAGUUCUGUUUGUCAACUACAAAACACUAAUAAGGUCUGUUUUUUUUUUUUCAUUAGGUUGUUAUUACCUUGUAGAUGGUGGUUAUACAAAUGGUGAAGGAUUCCUUGCACCCUAUAGAGGAAUACCUUAUCAUUUAUCUGAAUGGGAGGGACGAACACCUUCUAAUAAGGAAGAAUAUUUUAACAUGAAGCAUUCUAAGGCAAGGAAUGUAAUUGAACGCUGUUUUGGCUUGCUAAAAAGGAAGGUGGUCGAUACUAAGGAGUCCAUCUUUCUAUCCGAUAAGGACACAAGGUCGAAUAAUUACCGCUUGUUGCCUACUACACAAUCUUAUUAGGCAAGAGAUGUUAGUAGAUCCAAUGGAGAAUUUGCCAAUAAUAGAAGAUGGACAAAAUACAGAAGAAGGUGAAUAUGUUGGUAGUGUUCAAUCAUCGGACCAGUGGACUGCAAUGAGGAAUGAUAUGGCUGAGGAAAUGUAUAAUGAGUGGAGAGCAAUUAGGAACCAGCAACCGAACUAGCUAUAUGUUUUAAUGAUAACAUUUUAUUUUAGUAUUCCUUUUUAUCAUGCAUUUGUUAGAUAUUAGCACAAUGAUUGGAUGGUAUGCAAAUUAAUUGGAUAUUAUGCAAGUUGAUUGGAUAUUAUGCAAGUUGAUUGGAUAUUAUGCAAAUUGAUUAUUUGUAUGGUAUUUUCCUUCAUUAAAAUAUUUUUUGUUUAGGUAUGGAUAACGAAAAUAUUUUGAAUGCUACUCAAGAGCCAAAAGGAAGAAGGCGUAAAUGGGAAGCAUUUGAGGAAGAAGUAUUACUAGGAGUUCUUGAGGAUUUUGUUGCUCGGAAGCAACGGUGUGACACCGGUGCUUUCAAACAAGGUACUUUGGUUGAAAUAGCAAAAGCUGUCAAUGUUUUAUGUCCUCAUUCAAAUAUAAAGGCAAAUCCACAUAUUGAGUCCAAGUUGAAGAAAUGGAAAAAAACAUAUAUAGUAUGGUCGUUGACAUGAUAAACACAAGUGGAUUUGCAUGGAAUGAUGUCAAAAAGUGCGUUGAAGUUGACAGUGAUGACGCAUGGCAAACUUAUGUGCAGGUUCAUAUCCUAUUUUAUUUAUGCAUUAGUUAUAUUCUUGCUCCUAUAUUUGUUACGCAUGCUAAAUUUUAGUUUUGCUAUGUUGAUAUAAUCUUAGAGAAAUAAAGAAGCCGAUGGAUGGAGAAGCAAACCUUUUCCACUGUUUGAUAGAUUUUGCAUAUAUAUUUGGAAAAGAUCGGGCUACGGGUAAUGUAGCCGAAACCCCUGCUCAAAUGGUGGAGGAACAAAGUCAUGAUCAUGUUGGUGAAAGUGAUAUUGGAGGUGAUAAUUUUGUUUCUUCAAUGAACCAACAAAGCCAACAAAGCACCCCAUCUGAAAAUAGCCAAAGAAAGAGAGGAAAAGAGCUGUGGGAAGUUCAAGUGAUGGAACCGAGGCAAUUAUCAGUGGACUGAAAGAUUUUUAUGUUGAAAGUGGGAAGAGGAUGCAAAUGGUAACUGAAGCUUUAGUUCAAGGUACUGCAGAUCAUACUGACAUAGCUAAUGAACUUGAAGCAAUGGGUCUCUCUCCUAUGGAUCAAAUUGAUGCAUUGUCUCUUAUUUUGGAUAAACCAAAAAAUGUGGGAGUGUUCAGGGCAAUCAAACCGGAACUCAAGAAAGUGUUCGUCCAAAGACUUUUAAGAGACAACGCAAGCGGAUGAGGAUUUUGGCUAAUGUUAACAUGGAUGUAUUUUAUUAACGUUAACAUGGAUGUAUUUUAUUAAUCAUACAGUCUUAUGUUAUGACUUAUAACUUAGCUUUGCACUAGUAUUUUGGCUUAUGUUUACUAGCCAUUUUGUAAAUUAUGGAGAGAUCUAUUUUGGCUAAUGUUAACUAAUGUUAACUAGGAUUUUCUAAAUUAUGGAGAUCUUAUGUACUUGUAUUUGUUGAAGUUGCAUGUAUUGGCCACUAUUAUUUUUCUUCUGUUGGGUGAUAGAGUUUAAAUCAAGCUACAUUUGCAAAUUAAACCCAAUUCUAUUAGCAGGUAAUAGAAACAAAACAAUUGUCAAUUUUUUUUAAGAUUCAUAAUAUACAUGGCAAAAAUAUGCUCCAAUUAACCCAUAUCAUGAGAUUUGUAGCAUUACUCUAUUACACAAUGACAAAAAUUUGUAGUCCUAGUCUAAGCAAACACAAAUCUGGUGAACAGUAUUGUUUUUCUUAUCCUGCUUCUUAGUCCGAGACUGCACCAAACGCUUCACUAAGUUAGUCCAGCUUAGUCCAGUCUAAGCCAGUCCAGCUUAGUCCCGGCAGCUAGUCCAGUCCGAGACAGUCCGGCGCAACAAACGCACCCAUAUUGGCCUUGAAGUUAAGAUGGAAAAAUAUAUGUUCUGCAGGCUAGCCUAGAUCCCAUCGAAAAACGCCCCAAAAAAUGCUAAACUUCUUCAUCCAACGGAACUUAUUCUUUCGGCAAAUUACUACGAUUUUCAGAUGAAUGGAUAGUGUGAACCACCAAUUUGUUUCGGUUUACACCUUUACCAUAAACAUGCAAACACAUCCUUGUUUUUUCUAUUUUCACUGUUUUCUUUGUAUUGGGUCCUGGAGCAGUUUCUCUAUAUAUCUUUUUGGUUCCUCGAUUAUUUUCAUUGUUUCGAGCCUCAAUCAGUUUCUUUAAAUUUUUAACCAAAACUCCUCCUAGAAUUUGUUGUUCGCUUCAAUCAAUAUCUUUCACCAUUUUAUCUACCCGGAAUCACAAAUAAAUAUAGUGUCAAUAUUUAUGUUUUUUAGAAAAAUAUGUUUAGCUUGUAGGUCUUAGAAUAACACAGUUAAAAUUUUUAAAAAUUGAAAUAUGGAAAUUGUGAUUUUUUUUGGAAAUAUGUCUGGUUUGUUGAGAGAUUGCAGUUGUUAACGGCACUUAUUAAAGCACUUCAGGGAGGAUGAGACAAUUGACUACCAGAAAAACCUAACAAAAACACCAACCAACCAAAGUAACUGACCUUCAAAGAACGAUUUGGAAAAUUUAGAACGCAAUAAAGAAAGGAAGCAACCAACAAAAAACGUAUAAAACGCCUAAUAACAUUUGAUAAACAAUUAAGAACACUGGGUUAAAUAAGAAUCACAAAGACACCAAGAGACUUUCAAACAAUAACAGAAUUGCAUAGACAAAAUUUAAACCAAAAAAAAGGAAAGAACUAUCGGACCUCUAGACAAUCAGAGAUCACGAAGUUAACCAAGAAUGAGAAACAAAGCAUAGAGCAAACAUAUAAUAUAAGCCAAAAAAAACCAAACAGUCAUUUUAAAAAUUAUAAACUCGCAUUGUUUGAAAUGGAAAGAGUGGGGAAACAACGUAUUGAAGUUCAGGACAUACCAAAGGCUUGAUUGAAACGUAAUGGCUUUGAACCCCUUCAUUAAAGGCAACAACAAGAGCAGAUUAUGAUUCUAUGAUGUGAGCCCGAUCUAAACUGCAAAAAAGAAGUGAGAUUGCAAUUAAGAAUUCGAAAUGCAAACAAACAGAUACAAUAAAAGUAACUUAAAUUGUGACGGUAUAACGGACUCAAUAUGUAAAAGUGCACCAAAUAAAGGGUAAUUCUCAAGACAUUAAACAUAAAAACUAAAACACCCCCAUCUCUUUGCAAAUUUUACAAACAAAAUAGUAAACGUAAUCCUUGAAAUCCAAACAGACCUAAUUUUGAAACCGUUUCUCUUGGACACCCCAUACCAUAGAAAAUGCACCCUAUACCCCAAACAUAAUGCUCAGUGGCUAGAUAGCAAUCUGUGCAGGUUGAUCAAGAUGUCACUAAUUAGUUUUUGCCAACAGAUGGUUAACCAUUUUGCCAUUUUUUUUUUUUUGCAGAAAGUGGACCAUGUUUAACUUUAAAAGAUGAUCUCUAUUUUACCUAGACAAAUUGCAUCACCAAUGUCUUGCCACACAUUCACAAAAAUUAGCAGUGCCGAUUGACAAAUGGACAGACCUGAAUGGUACUAACCGAAGCACAACAAUCCCUAAAGGAAAACAAACAACGAAAUGACUUCAAGAAAAAUCUGUAUCAUUUAUUCAAUGAAGCACCCUAAGUUGGAAAAGAGUAAAAUUUAAAUUGAAAAACAAUAAUCUAACAGAGACAAAUUUAAAAACAAAAAACCAUUAGAAUCUUUACAGAAAUCAAUAAAAAUGGCUGCAAGUUAAAAGUCUUAAAAUUUGAUAUAUGGCUAUAAAUUUUCCUAAUGUUUAUAAUAUCAAUUAAGAAUACACCAAAACUUAAUACACCGUUGUAACAUUUUGCAACUGCCUCACCUAUCUGAAAUGAAAUGAUAGGCUAUAAUGAAAUAAAAGCCCACCAAGUGCAAAUAGAAAUAAACCAUAUAGCUGGGUCUUGUACAUGGUUAGAUCCUUGGUCUCCAGGAAUUAUGCUAAAAGGAAGACUAAUCAAAUGAUUACGCUUAGAACUAUAACGUUAUUUCAAUUUUUAAAAACUAUUAACUGAUUGAAAAACCACACCAUAAAGAACCAGUGGAGAUCAGAAUAACAAUAAAAUACUACAGAGGUAAAUGAACAGCCAUUAAUAUAAUUUUUUUCCUCAGCAUGCCAACAACAAUCAGAAAAAGAAAAGGAGAAAAAUCUAUGGGAUAAAUGUAAAGUCUAUUUGAAAAGUUCAAUAUAUUUGUUUGUCAAACUCAGUGAUCAAACUUCACACUCAUGCUUUUCAAAAAGAAAAGAAAACGAAGAAGUGAAAUCAUUGACAAUUCCAAGAAAUAUAGCAGCUAUUAUUAAGAUCCAAAACGAAUUCUGGAAAGUAUGGGGACCAAAGACUAUUAGAAGUUGGAAAGAUAUGCCGAUGCAGUGGUUUGAGAACAUAGUUUGAGAAACUUUGGGUAGGAAAUAUGCUCGCAAGGAAAACCGACAAUGGGUGAGUAUGACUCUCAAAGCUGGUUUAUGUUUAAAUUACUGAAUCACCAUAAUCGUUGUUGGUUGGUUUUCACUCAUGGUCUACUUUUUAUUCAAGUUCUUGUAAAGAAAAUUAGUCUUUUAACCAAAUGCAUGCCAAUUACAAUUUUUCCUUUUUGGUAAAUAAUACCAACCACAUUUUAUCAUUACUAGAUUCAUAGUGCUUUGAUUAACUUUAUGGGGAGUAGAAUCUCAAUUCAAGCUAAGUAAAGCAAAACCCUCAAUUAAACCCCAACUACAAACCCGAAUUAAACCUUCAAUUAAACUCUUAAUAAAACCCAAAUUAAAUCAGCAAUCAGGAAAGAGAAAAAUACACCCAUUCAAAGUAUUGCAUAACUGAAAAAAACUAUAUUUAUGAGAAAGAUUAAAACCUUUUUACAAAAGACACCUACUGAAAAAGCUCACAUUUGUAAAGACUUGGAGCUCCUGACCUAACAGCACAACAAAAUCCGGAAAUAAUUCACAGCAAAAGGGAAGAAAUGAUGACAAUCUAUGCUAACAGUAGAGAAUCGAAUUAAAAAUUGAACUUAGCUAAAAAACACUUACCCUUCAACGUUCGGAGCCUUAGAAAAAUUUAUGAAGUUCACGCAAAUAUUUUUACGUCUCUAUGCACCUAUCCUGCAAACCAACGAAAAUAGAAAUGCAGAGAAGUGGGAAGACCAGAUGAAAUAAAACCCAAGCCACCACCAACUUAAAUAGAAGAAAUGUGGGGGAAUCCAGCCGUCAAAGAAAAAAAAUACAAUCUCCAGAACAAAUAGAUAAAAACAUAAUAAACGAGCAAAAGCAGCUAAUCAGCACAAAACUAGUAAACUGAUUGGGAGGCCUAAUCGGAAGAUUAAGAGAAAAGAUGAGCAAUUCACUCAAGACGCACAAUAGGGAACCCAACAGAUGCAAAAUACACAAAGAGCAAUCUCGGGCACCCCAAAAUAAAAGCAAAGCACUCCAAGAACCACAUCUAAGCCAAGUAAUGAUUAACAAACACCAAAUAAAACAACCCAUAAUCCAACAACCCACGAAAUCAACGAGUCUAAUAUAAGCAAGCCAGAUGCUAAUUGUCACAAACCCCAUUACCAUAAACAGACGCCACCCGAAGUUCAAAGAUCUAAACAACGUUGAUUGAAUAAAACCUGAGAACCCAAGAACACCCGUCUCUCUAAGCCAACCCCAACAACAUACUAACACUCGAGGAGUUGCAGAAUUAUCAAAACCCUAGAAAUUAACGUACCUCAAUUAAACCCCCUAAAUCUCGAGACACCCACUUCAAUUAUCACACUCAAGCACCAAACCCAAUUAUCAGCCCUACACUUUGUUCGGGCGAAGAUUUCUCCGGAAAGAGCUCCUCGGCUCUUAGCACAACUCCCCAAGGGAUUGGCACUUUGGAUAUAUAGUCGGGCUCUUGCUUGCUGAUGUGCUGCAAGAAGAGGAUAAAGUUAGUUUUGAAAGGUGCCUUUGUAGGGCCUUAGGUGUAUACAUUGAGGCUCGCAAUCAAAACUAAUUGAGUGCUAGGCGUGCCACUGCUAUCUCAGUAUAACAGAUGUAUAAUAAGUGUAUUUAGUCGAUUACUUUCGCCCCAAGUUACUCGGACUUCUUGUUAUCAAAGGAUUGUCGUGGAUGGGUUAAGUCCACAUUAAGUUCUUUUUCUUGCCUUGUGACCAAGGACUUUCAGUUCAUAGUCUUGUAUGUUCAAGUGAGGGGAGUCAAUAUCCCCUUAAGUCACCUACUCGAUUCUUGAUUGGUUUUAAAUGAAGGCAUAUUCAUUAAGGUGACCAAAUCCGGGCACAAAUGAGACUCUUAAAGUAGGAAAACAGAUGGAUAUAACUUGAAUACAUAUUAGAGAAUACAUUAAGCAGUAGAUCUAUUAACUUAUAAGACAAACAAAGAGCUUUGAGCAAGAUUUCACCUUGUCGGGCAAGGUUGAACUUCUUGCAAUCACUUCUCUUUUGAGUUUACAAGGUUUAUAUGCUAAGAAUGGAUGGAUGGUAAACAAGUUUACACGAGAUAAUCGAUGCUACGCCACUAAGGGUGAUAGCAGAGCUUCUAAACUAGACAAAAGAUGGCUUUUGUGGGGGAUGAUCCUGAAAAGGAUUGAGAUCUGGGCUGAUUACAGCUUAUAGAUGCAAAUCUAGCUUGAGAGCAGAGUUUGUAUGUUUGUUUGUUUGAUUGGUUGAGUAUCCUUGUCUCUGAGGCCUCUUCCUCCUUUUAUAGGUAGAUUAGCCCGACUGCAGUAGCUUUACUCUUGCUCGAAAGUUGUUGAAGGGUAGCGAGUCAUCAGCUUUUUACUUGUAUUGCCAUCGAAAAGUGUUUUUUGGCUGAUUGUGAGUUAGUCCCCAUCAUUUGACACUUAAAUCAUAGGCACAUCGCCUAUACAUUAAUCAGAAUGCGCCAACUUGUCUAUGGGCCUGAUACUGAGCUUCAGGCAGGUAUUCCUUUAAUUGGUGUUUUUGGGCUUCCUUAUACUUACAGCCUAAAGUUCAAAUAUUAACCCAAAUAGUGCCCCCUUUAAUCAUUGUUAAGGUUGCAAUCCCAGGAGCUAAUAAUGAUUAAAUAGUCGUCGCUCAUUAAACAACCGUCGCACGCAUCCACUCGGAACUUGUGCCUUUUUAAAGCAACCGUUGGUUUAUCUGAAGCCCUUUGCACUACCCCACGAACUCCUCCGCUAAGUAAUCACUUAUUAUAUAAUUCCUCCUUAAUCUCAUCAGCAAAGUAUUUUAACCACUUCGAGCCUUCGAAUUCUCAGAAACUCCAGUGCGCUCUUAUCUUCGCAGCUCUUCAGUCAUUCCCCCCUUAAUUUCAAAUUUUCUUCUAUCUUCCUCUCAAAGUCCUAAGUGGCACCCAUAGUUGCCCGAAUUCAGUCUCUUCGCGAGAUUGGUGAAGGGAUUUCCACCAUGCACCGUUCUUUUGAUGACCUUCAUUACCCUCGAGCGAGCCUGCAUACUGAAAUCUUCUUUGAGGAGGAAAUAGUGCACUCUUUGGGGCCUGCAUAGACUUCUCAUUUAUUGGCUUUUGCAACAUCCUCAGAAAGGUGCACUACGUCCAGCUUUUGUUUCAAGACUCAUAUGGCUUUUGUGAAUAGCCAGGUAGCCUUAAUCACACCGGUAGAUUCCUCUUAUGAAUAUAAAGCAAUAUUUCCUUGCACUGGUAUCCACAAGCCCAAACUUCCCCAUAGCUUUUGGUUUCUUGAUCACUUUAUCAUCAUAGGUGUAUGCUUCGGGGUCAAUUACCAUGACAAUGUCAAGGACUUUGGUGAGACUUGUGGACGAAGGCUCUGUUAUGGAAGCCAGGAUUACAUAAGUGUCUUCUUCAAUUAAGAGUUUGGAGGAGCAACCAUCUGUACGAAACAACUUUACAAGAAGAAUUGAGGAAGCAAAGAAAGUAAAUGUUGAAGUUGAAGAUGCCGAAGUUCAGUUAGUCAUUCUAGGAUAGCUACCUUAGCCAAUGAUGUAAAACUAUUGUUGAUCCUUAUGUAACUUCAACAUGAAAUAAAAAAAGACUUUCUUAAUCCAUCUUAGCUUGCAUUUCUUCUUUUAAAACUUAACUACGAUGGGCAAAUAAGCUGACUUUAAACCACUUGUAAUGUUUAUACUUCUUCAAUAUAGCAACUCCUAACAUCCCACAAGGUUGGGUGAUAUUUCUUCAAAAACUUGGCAUUAACUGGAUGCUUAUGCGAACUUCCUUCCAAAUCUGCCAAGUAAUAUCCCCUUUUGUCUAGUAUUUGGUUAAUAAUGAAAGGACCCUCCCAAGUCGGACUCCACUUCCCAAAGCCUCUAACUUGAGCUUCUAAAGGCCGAAUUGCCUUCCAUACUAACUCUUAUUUCUUGAAGUUUUUCAAUUUCACCUUUUUAUUGUAUGCUUGGGCAACAGCUCUCUUCCCUUCUUGAAUUUUACCUAGGGCUUCAAUUCGGGCUACAUCUAGAUCUUCUAUUCCUUGACACAUAGCCUGAAUAUAUUCUUCAUUAUGCAACCUAAAUUGAUUUUGAAUCCUAACAGAACCCACAUUUAUCUCCAUGGGGAGCACAUCAUCCUGCCUGAAGGUCAAAGCAUAAGGAGUAGUUCCAGUGCCCUCUUGGAGGUUCUGUAAGCCCAUAAAGUAUCUCCCAACUUCUCAUGCCAUUUUUCUAGACUAUCUGCCACCAUCAUUUUGAUAAUGUUCACCAAGACUUUGUUACUGGCUUCUGUUUGACCAUUUGACUGGGGUAGUAAGGACUAGAUUGGAUCAUCUUAAUCUUGAACUUACUUGCAAAUUCUUCUACUUCCUUUGAAAUAAAAGACGGUCCGCAUUCUAUAACAAUUGUCUUGGGUACCCCAUAUCUGUGUAAGAUCUUGGUUUCAAUGAAGUUCUUGACGGCGGUUGCAGUUAAGGUCUUCACUGUUGAAGCUUCUACCCAUUUGGUGAAGUAGUCUAUUGCCACAAUUAUGAACGUGUGCUCUUUGCUAGAAGUUGGAUGAAUUUGCCCGAUGAACUCCAUUGCCCAUCUUCUGAAGGGCCAAGGCUUGACCAUGGGGUUUAAGGGUAUUGAAGGCACAUGUUAGAGAGGUCCAUGUCUUUGGCAUUCUUCGCACCCUCAGGCAUAAACUUUGCAAUCUUUCUCCAUCUCUGGCCAGAAAUAGCCAUAUUCCUAAGUAGCCACCUCAUAUUGGUUCCCGCCUGAUGUGCUUCAUAGAUCCCUUCAUGUACUUUGGCCAUUACCCUCAUUGAUUCUUCCUAGCCUAAGCAUUUCAACAUUAGUCCAUCUGGAGUCUUUCUUAGUAUAUUUCCCCCCACAAAAUGUACUUAGUUGCUUGUUGUCUAUUCUUCUUACUUGUGCAGAAUGAUGGAUCUUUUAAAUACUGAAUAAUAGGUGUUCUCCAAUCUCUAACCUCCACCUCUUCAAUCAUUACAUCUAGGUUGAAUCCCCUUUCAAAGAUAAAAGGGAGAUUUCUUUUCUGAACCUCUAUGUCCCCUUUAUACUUUCUUUCUUGGAUCAACGCUCCAGAAGCCAAUUGUGCCAUCUCAUUAGCAACUGCAUUCGAUCUUCUCGGGAUAUGGUUGACUGAUAUCUCAGUGCCCCAAUAGCUUAAUAGUUAUGUAGAUGCCAAAUAGUAACUUGCCAUGAUAAUGUGUCUGCACUUGUACUCUUCAUUUAGUUGAUUGAUCACCAACUCUGAAUCACCAAAUACUUCAACUUCAGUUGCCCCUAACUCUAUCAAGAUCUCCAGACCAAUUAUCAAUGCCUCGUAUUCUGCCCAGUUGUUAGUAGUCUCUUGAUAGUCUAGGAGGAAUGAAUAAAAAUGGUAAGCACCCUUAGGAUCAAUGAUAACAAUCCCGGCUCCUGCGACAGUUUGGGUGCAAGAACCAUCAAAAUACAGUUUCCAAUGAGUGAUCUAGAGACUAGCUAUUCUUUUUAUCUCUUGCCGGAUCCAUUUUUCUUUGCCCUAGAAGGUUUUGCUUGAUAGGAUCCACACACUGGCUACCUCAAGAGUUCCCAAGAUAUUGAUAAUCUCAUCUUGGGAUUCUUGGUGCUCAACCAAGAAGUUUGCAAUUGCUUGCCCCUUGAUCGCUCUAUGAGGCACAUACUGAAAGCUAAACUCUGAAAACACUAGAAUCCAUUUUCCAAUCCUCCCAGCUAUCAUUGGUUUUGACAGCAUAUAUUUGAUUACGUCAGUCCUAGCAAUAAUGUGGAUGUGGCAAGGUAACAUGUAAUGCCUUAGCUUGCAUGCCGUGAAGUAUAGAGCCAGGCACAACUUCUCCACUGGUGUAUAUCUUGUCUCUACUUCAGUAAGGAUUCCACUGAGGUAGUAGAUUGCUUGUUCUUUUUUGCCUUCAUUUUUCUAAGCCAACAAGCUUCCCAUUGAUUUCUCAGAAGCAGAAAUAUAAAGCUUUAAAAGUUUCCUCCUCUGAGGUGGCAUGAUCACUGAUGGAGAGGCCAAGUAAGCCUUUAUACUGUCGAAAGCCUCUUGAUGUGGUGGGCCCUACUCAAAUUCUUCUUUGUUUUUCAAUUUUAGCAAAGGAGUUAGCGGCUGAAUCUUGCCCACCAACUUAGCGAUGAAUCUCCUUAAGAAGUUGAUUUUUCCUAGUAGCCUCUGUAAUUGUACUUUAUUGGUGGGAGGAGGUGAUUCUAUGAUUGCCCGAGCUUUUUCUUGUCAACCUCCACACCUCUUUGAUGAACAAGGAAUCCCAAGAAGUUGCAAGACCUUACUCUAAAAGCACAUUUCUUUGGAUUCAUUUUUAGCUUAUGGAUUCAGUCUUAGACUUUACCAUGAUGUUAGCAAUGUACACUUCCAUGGUAUGGCUAAUCAAGUCAUGAAAAAUGGCAUUCAUUGCUCUUUGAUAGGUCGCUUCAGCAUUUUUUAGCCCAAAUGGCAUCACUACAUAUUCAUAUGCUCCAACAUGAUCUGGGCAUCUGAAAGCUAUUUUGUGUAUAUCUUCUUUAGUCAUUUUUAUCUAAUUAUAACCGGCAUUUCCUUUCAUGAAAGAUAAGACUUUGUGUUUGGCAACUGCAUUUAUGAAUAAGUCAGCCAUAGGCAUUGGAUAUUCAUCUUUAGGCGUGGCUCCAUUAAUGUUCCUAUAGUCAACACAACAUCGAAUCGCCUUAGUUAUAGCUUUUAAUACAAGUACAAUGUUGGCCAAUCACUCGACAUAUUUGGCAGGCCUAAUAAAUCCAGCCUUUACUAGCCUUUCAAUCUCUUCCUUGACCUUUUCCUCGAUCUUCUUUGACAUUCUCCGUGGUGCUUGCUUGACAGGUUUAUACCCCUCCUUAAUAGGCAUUCUAUGUUCUACUAAGGUUGAAUCUAAACCUGGCAUUUCAAUGUAAUGCCAAGCAAAACAGUCUUUGAACUCAUGCAGAAAGCUAACUACAUUUGCCCGAUCCUCCGUUUCUAAUAAGCCACUGAUCUGGAUAGGCCUUGGAUCUUCCUUAGUUCCCAAAUCAAUGGUCUCCAAUGGGUCUUUUACUUCUGAUUAUGGCUUGUUAGGCUCUGCGCACAAGAAUUCAACUAACUUUGGACUCUCGGGCAAGUCUUCUGGCCCGUCCAGGUCAUAUAUACAUUCAGCUAUUUGUAUGGCCGCUUCCAACUCCUUUCCAAAAAACUCUUAUCCGCUCUGGCUGCUUGAGGCUUCCUCCUGGUGCUUCUUGGCCAAGCUCUCCCUUUCUUGCUUUCUCUCUCUUCCAUACACCAACAGUCUUUUGAUUAAGAACCUGACUGCAACUACUUGAUCCUUUUUUCUUUGUUUUAACAUUACUGGUGUUGGGGAGUUGGGACAAUAUAAGGUCGGUCCCAUUCUUCCCUUGUAAGGAACAACCCCUGUUCCAAAAGCUUUUGGGCUGUCACUUUAGUCGGGCGGCCGUUCUUAUCAGCUCCUAAGCACUGGAGAAUCCCAAUGCUAGGAUUGUAAAAAUUGGCUUCUGCCACAUUGGCAGUGGGAAGGAAUGGCUGUGACUCGGCCUCCACCAUUUCCCAAAAUCCAGGUCUCAUAUCUCAUUCUUCGUGGUAAACUGCCACUUGUUGAUGCAUGGUGAAUGGCACUGAGAAACUUUGAUAAAUCCAAUCUCGACCCAAUAAAGCUCCAUAUGUGGAAGUACUAUCCACAACGAAGAAAGCUAACAUGAUCUGCUUGAAACCUAAGUCAACCUCAAAAGGCAAUAUCUCAUGAGUUUUGGUGAUGGCUCUAGAGAAACUGGAAACAGUUAAGUCCAUAGGGAUGAGAUCUUCCUUACUUCUACAUGCCCUCUUCAUCUGCUUGAAAAGCAACACAUUGACUGUGACUCCUCCAUCAAUCAAAACCCUUUUGAAGGGCACUCCCUCCAGAUAAGCAGUUACAUAAAUGGGCUUGAGAUGGUUGGCCAAUCUCCAAGGUUUAUGAGGCAGCGGGGACUUUUAACGAGUUCAUGUGGGUUUUAUAUUGCCUCUAGACUCUCCUAAUCAUAGAGGCUCCCAUUUCUUUAACAGGCUUCUUAUCAUUUCCGACCACAUAUCAUUUUCGCCCAAGUUGGGCAGGUUUCUUCAUUGUGACUGGAUUCAACAUUCUCCCCUUAACUCUGACAUCUCCACCAGCAUAGCUUGGUUGGGGUGGCCUCACAUCCACCCAUCUUGGCACAUUGACCUCUUUGUCCUUCACCUCUUCAGAAGCUUAGUAAUUUCUGAACACUUUAGAAAAAUCCUUUGGUUAGGAGUCUCAUCCUAACCUUUGGAAAACAUUUCUAGAAGUCUCUUUCUCAGCUGACUGCAUGACAUUUCUACGGGCUUCCUGCUUUUCUUUCUCUUUUCUCUUGAUCAGCUCCUGAUCAAUAAUGGCUCCUGACGCUGAGACUUCCAGCUCACACUCACAUUGGCAUCUACUGCACAAUACCACUCCUUUGAUUAUGGUCGCUUUGGGUUUCUCGGGCACCUUUAUGGCUCAUUCAGUUGGCCUAUCAGCUUGCCUCCGUUCUGCUUUCACAUCCCAGGUAGCUUUUCUUUUCCCAUUCUCAGCCCAUGUAAGGUUGAUCAUGUUUAUUGGGACAUCUAGGAAGGGGUUAGUGUCAAUCAUUAUGUUGGCCUACCGUUUAUCCAAUAACAACUUUCCCUUUGCUAUAAGGUCUUGUAUCCAAUCCCUGAACUGGACACAUUUGGUUAUGGAGUGAUUGAAAGUGUAAUGCAACUUGCAAUACUUUUUCUCUCUCAGCUCUUCAGGCUUGGGCAGCUUUUUGGCCCUGUCGGGCACGAUCACCCUUGCUCCAACCAACUCCUCAUAGUUGGUUAAGUCAAAGGAAUAACUCUGGUACUUGGGGGAUUCAUAGGGACAAAUCCACCAUCGUUUAUGACUACUUUCUGGUCCUUCACUAGCUCGACUAACCCUUUUACAGUCAAAGGUUUGAAGGAGGCAGUCAUCUCCGUCGCGCACACAUCCAUUCUCUCUCCUUCAUGGCCAUUAUUUUCUUCUGGUUCUCCUUCAAACUCCACUUGGUGAAUAAUAGCUUUGCUUUUAUAGAAAUAAGGCACAUUAGACAAAUGAUUUACUUAUUGUUCCUCCACCAACAACUUCUCAUACUUGGUGACCACAAUUACCAACUUCUGCAGCUCAUUGAACUGCAUGUCAUAAAACUUCUUCCUUAAAGGUAAUCUCAACGCCUUCUGAGCGAUGGAUAUGAGUUGUGCAUGAUUUAUAUGGAAUUGGCACCUCAUCCUCGUCCUUUUGAACCUCAUCAUGAAGUUUUUUGUAGACUCAUGCUCGUACUGCUUCACCUCCACAAGGUCAUUGAUAGACAUUUCGGGCUCGACCCUAUAAAACUGCUCAUGGAAGGCCAUCUCCAUUUUCCCCAAUUGGCGAUAGAAUUAUGGGGCAACAAAGAAUACUACUGAGAUGCUAAACCCAUCAAGGAGUUCCCAAACAAUCUCAGCUUGUAGUUGGGAUUGUCUUCGAAUGCUACACAGUGAUUAGAGAACUUGAAAAUGCGAUCUCUGGAAAACACAUUACCAUCUUCUCCGCUCAAUGUUGGGAAUACAGGUAUCUUGAAGUUGACUGGAAAAAGGGUUAUGCUCGUCAACGUACAGGAUAGGGCUUCUGAUAAGUGAUCCUAAACAGCGGGUGAGUUUGUGGUUGAGCAUUCCGGGCCACCAUCCUCCUUAACUCGGCUAACUCAUCUCUGAGAUGUUGGUGAGCUGUAUUAUCAGGAAGAGUAUGAGGGGGUUCCCAUUUUGGGCUAUGAUCAUUUCCCGAGAAAAGCUCUUUUCUUGGAUCGGGCUUCCCCCUCCCUUACUGGCCAAUGAUGGGGGCCUAUAAGGAAGAGGUUUAUCUGGUUUAGUAGGCCCGCAUUUUCCACUGGAUUCCCCGAUCAACUGGGGCAUCCCAUACUUCGUUCUUUCUUGACCGCCCUGCCCCCUAUUAUUAAGUGGAAAUAGUGAGGGGUCUGGCAACUCUGCUUCUAAAAUUUCUUCCAACAUUGGCCCACUGGUGCCAUAUUCUUCCUUGUUUUUAUCCUUACCAUUCUUAUCCUCGAGUAAAGGAAAGAAUGGAAUAACUGGUUCUUAUUCGGGGCUUGCUCUCCUCACAUAACCAUUUUUUGGAGUAGAAUACUUUAGAUCUAGUUGUCUCUGCAAACUCCCUAUUAAAGAACAAAGUAUGCUGACUUCUCCCCUGGUUUCUAGGGAAAUAUUCUCCAUACCCCUUAACAUUUACACCAUGGUGGCUUGCAAGUCUUCAUUGGUUACCAUUCCCCCCGACAUCUCAGAUGAGGUCAGGUUUCCCAAAACAGCUGGUCCUUGUAAGGAGGAAACGUUCUCUGUGCGGUCUGCCAUGUUUGAUUUUGGUAAAGACUGGGGUAGCCUGUACUCUGUGUUCCACUUGAAGGUUUUCUCCUUCCUUAUUCUUCUUGGCAUACAAUACUAAUGUGAUCCUACCAGGCAUGCCAAAACUAUGUUCGGGCGAAGAUUUCUCCAGAGAGGGCUCAUCGGCUCUCAACACAACUCCCUAAGAGAUUGACACUUUGGAUGUAUAGUCGGGCUUUUGCUUGCUGAUGUGCUGCAAGAAGAUGAUAGAGUUAGUUUUGAAAUGUGCCUUUGUAGGGCCUUAGGUGUAGGCCUUGAGGCUCGCAAUCAAAACUAACUGAGUGCUAGGCGUGCCACUACUAUCUCAGUAUAGCAUAUGUAGAAUAAGUGUAUUUAGUCGAUUACUUACGUCCCAAGUUACUCGGACUUCUUGUUAUCAAAGGAUUGUCGUGGAUGGGUUAAGUCCACAUUAAGUUCUUUUUCUUACCUUGUGACCAAGGACUUUCAGUUCAUAGUCUUGUAUGUUCGAGUAAGGGGAGUCCAGAUCCCCUUAAGUCAUCUACUCGGUUCUUGAUUGGUUUUAAAUGAAGGCAUAUUCUUUAAGGUGAUCAGAUCCGGGCACAAAUGAGACUCUUAAAGUAGGAAAACAUAUAGAUAUAACUUGAAUACAUACUAUAGAAUACAUUAAGCAGUAGAUCUAUUAACUUAUAAAACAAAAAAAGAGAUUUGAGCAAGAUUUCACCUUGUCGGGCGAGGUUGAACUUCUUGCAAUCACUUCUCUUUUGAGUUUACAGGGUUUAUAUGCUAAGAAGGGAUGAAUGGUAAACAAGUUUACACAAGAGAAUCGAUACUAUGCCACUAGGGGUGAUAGCAGAGCUUCUAAACUAGACAAAAGAUGGCUUUUGUGGGGGAUGAUCCUGAAAAGGAUUGAGAUCUGGGCUGAUUACAGCUUUUAGAUGCAAAUCUGGCUUGAGAGCAGAGUUUGUAUGUUUGUUUGUUUGAUUAGUUGAGUGUCCUUGUCUUUGGGCCCUCUUCCUCCUUUUAUAGGCAGAUUAGCCCGACUACAGUAGCUUUACUCUUGCCCGAAAGCUAUUGAAGAAUAGUGAGUCAUCAACUUUUUACUUGUAUUGCCACCGAAAAGUGUUUUUUGGCUGAUUGUGAGUUAGUCCCCAUCACUUGAUACUUAAAUCAUAGGCACGUGGCCUAUGCAUUAAUGGGAAGGCACCAACUUGUCUCUGGGCCUGGUACUAGGCUUCGGGUACGUCUUCCUUUAAUUGGUAUUAUUGGGCUUCCUCAUACUUGCAGCCCAAAGUUCAAAUAUUAACCCAAACACACUUAUUGAAUUCUAAUACACCUAAAGAACUUUUAAUUAACCCAUCUAAUAAUUUUUUCUUGCUAAAAUCAACUUUCCCUAUCUUUUGGACGAAUUCGAUGCAAAACACCCAUGAAAUCCCCCCCCCCCCAAGGAGCUAGCUCCUAAGAGGCGGGGGGAGGGGGGAAUACUAAAGCCGUCAUUUCCUCUCACGCUUGAGUGCCGUCUAUUACUACCAUGAAUUGAUGGUUUUUUUAUUUUUUAUUUUUUUCAAUUGUUUAUAUAAAAACUUUUGACAUAUAGCUAAAAAUACAUGUAAAUAAAUUCAAUUGCCAUUAAAUAUAAAAACCCAUAAGUCAACCAAUAAGCAUGUGAAGAUGACGAACCCUAAACUUUGAAAUUACAAAUUCAAAACCCACCUUUAUUUCCAGUAGUCUAUGGCCAUGAGGAAUUCAAUGCUUUUCUUUUUUUCUCUCACCCAAUACCUUUUAUUUCCUUUUCAGUUAAUACAAUUUUUGAUAUUAUCUCAAAUUAAAAAUUAAAAGAAAAUUAUGCUAGUAUCCAGUUGGGAUUUGGGAUUUUGCUGCUUUUCUCUCAAGGGUUCUAAUUCCAAACUUUAGCUUCAAGGCUUUCGCGUUAUUUAAGAAAGGACUUUUUACUUUUUUCUUUUUCUUUUAACAAACGAUUUAUCUCCAUUAAGGGUGUAGCGGAGAGAGCUAAGUUCCGUAAUAGGUUAGCCAUAAUAAUGUAGUUCAAAUUCGUUUUUGAUGAGAAUCAAACCUAAGACCUCUUACUUACAAGUGAAGUGGAAUACCACUAGACUGUAGUAUUAAGUGGCUAUUUAAGAGAUGACUUAUAUACUUUAGCUAAAACCUUUGUUAGUUUUCCCUAUAUAAAAUAGGUUUUUUUAUAGCCAAAAUGGUCUCUAAGAUAUGCAUAACUCCUCACUUUGGUCCCUAAGAUUUGAAAUCAAUAGAAGUGGUCCUUAAGAUUGUCCACCAUCAAUCAUUUUAGUCUUUCCGCGAAAAAUUAUGUUAAAUAAGGAUCAAAAUGACAAAAAUACCCUCAAUUUAACAAACAAUAGGACAAAAUGAUUUGACAAAAAAUUGAGGGUAUUUUUGUCAUUUGUUCUUAUUUAAUGGAGAUUUUUCAUGGAAUAACCAAAAUGAUUGAUGAUGGACAAUCUUAGGGAUCACUUCUAUUGAUUUCAAAUCUCAAGGACCAAAGUGAGGAGUUAUGCAAAUCUCGGAGACUGUUUUGGCUAAAAAGCCUAUAAAAUAUGAUGAGAUUUUAAUUUUUAAAAGAAGGAAGAAAACAUCUUAUUUCUUCAUGGCCUAAGAUCUUUCAGUUCCUUUGUUUGUCUUGUGGUGAUAAUAAAAGGAGGAAGAAGUAGAUUUAAGAGUCAUGUUCAUGACAAUUUCAUUAAAAUAAAAACAAAACCUUUUCUUAAAAAAAAAAAAAAAAAGAGAGAGCUAAUUAAUAGCCUUGUGUUUGUAUAAACUCAUGAUGAUUCAGGACUUAUAAGCCAGGUCUGCUUUGUAUGGUACUGUCAUGGUAUCGAAUAUGUUGUAACUGCACAGAUGCAAAGCUUGCUUUGGUUUGAGUUUGUUGAGUUCUAUCUGUAGCUUGGUGAGGUGUGUUGGCAAUGGCUUACACAACGUGAACCAUGCAAGUGCAGAUGGAAAACCUGGUAAUAUGGUUUACUUGUUUAGGGUUUCACAAAGUAUAAAGGUGAAUCGUUAUAUAGGCAGUUCUUCCCUGAAUCUUUAGAAGCAUAAUAUCAUCGGGCAUCCAUUCUUUGUCAGCUAUGUAGGUACAUUGUAAAUAAUUACCAUUCUAACGGAAUAAUUUUUGUUUCGUUGAAGACUACUUUAGCAUAUGUCAUUUUCUCUAUUUAAAGUUUUGGAGAAUAUUAGAGUGUUACCUGGCAAUUAUUGAAUGUAUCAAAUUUAUGGAAAAAAAAACUUGCAUAAAUCGAUUUAUACAUUGAGGUUUUAAAACUUCAAAAUCAUCAUCCAUUGGUAAAAAAGAGAUUGUUUUUCUCUAUUAAGUGUGGGUUUAUUGAUAAACUUUAGUUUUAAUGUUAAUUUCAUCUUAUACUUGAUGGUAAUUAUGCGAUAGGUAAAAAGACAAUUUCCAUUUACAAUUUAAGUUAGGUGUAGAGAGAGGUUAUGUGGGUUCAAAUAAAAUUUUUCAAUUGUUCUUAGCACUCCAAAAAUCUCAUUUGACAUUCCAAACUUUUUAAAAUUAAAAAGAAAAAACAUUUCCCUUUUUUAAUUCAACAAUGAAAAUUAACUGUGUUAGAUAUGAAGUUAAAUUGAGGGACUGGUGUUAAAAAUUAGAAAGGGGACACAAAAAAAAAAAAAACACGAAAUAGGCCCGUGGCCUAUCUAUUGAAUCUGGCUUCAAGUUUUUGUCUCUAAGUUCUAAUGUUGUUCAAUUACUCCAAUUUCAUGAGAGCCACAAGUGAGAGGUGAACUUAUCUUCACCAUUUUUCAGUUGAGGUGAGGAUUGUGUGACUUGUCUUACAAUUUUUUUAUUUUUUAUUUUUCAUAUACCAACGACACCACAACUACAAGGCGGCUGCUUCAUCUCUCUCUCAUGGAUACGUCGGCAGCCGAUGACCACUCCGACGAACCCUUGACCCCAGUAGGUCGGCUCCUUCUCCAACCCGAAAUGAACCAAAUAAUCCACUGUGCCAUGGGAUUCAAAAACUCCAUAGACAUUGACGCCGUAAAGUCUCACCUCAAAACCUCCCUUCUCCUCUCCCACCCAAGAUUCUCAAGCCUCAUGCUCCGCGACUCCCGCGGCCUCCAGCACUGGCACAAUGCCCCCUACGUUGACCUCGACCGCCACAUCAUUGUCAUCCAGAACCCCGUCACCACAUCUCCCGUCGAUCACGAGACCGCAGUUAACGAAUACUUGGCCGACCUCUCCACAAGCUCUACUAGACUGAGCGCGAACAAACCCCUCUGGGAACUUCACCUCCUCAUGGCCCACAACUGCGGCGUCUUCCGAAUCCACCACGCAUUGGGAGACGGGGUUUCGGUCAUGUCCCUAUUCUUGGAGAGUUUCAGGACGAGAGGCUCAGAUGGAAAUGAAGAAAAGAUUUUGGGUCGUGGAAGGAGGAAGAGAGUGAAUGGUGAAAAGGGAUGGUGGGGUUUGUUGAUUGGGUAUGUGGGGACGUUGUGGUUUAGCUUGGUGUUUUUGGUGGAGCAUGCGAUGAGGAGCUUGUGGCUUUGUGACCAGAAAACAGCGAUAAGUGGCGGCGAGGGAGUUGAGCUCUGGCCUAGGAAGCUGGCCACGGCUAGGUUUCGGCUUCAGGACAUGAAGCUCGUCAAGAAAGCUGUUCCGAAUGCGGUAAGUGACUUAUUAAUUCUUCUGUGUUUAUUGGUUUGUUUCAGAAAUAGAAUAAUGUAUAUUAUACUUGUUCAUAGCUUGAACCUUCAAGAUUCAAAUUGACGCAUGACAUACAACAUAAAUACCAACUAAUUAUAUGGGGUAAAAAUCUCCUAAUCUGUGUCAAAUAUUUUCAGAAAUCUUUUUCCCUGUAAAAAACCCCUAAUUGGAUUAGUUUUAAUUGAAGAGAAAAUUUUCAGCAUGUUGGGAACAUAGUCUGAUAUAUCAAGUGUCAUAAUCAGUGGCGGAGCCAGAAAUUCUGUUAAGGAGAAUCAAUCUUAAGUGACUAUAAAAUUAUGAUUAAUUGAGCUUAUAAGUGAAAAUUACUUAAGAAAUGAUCAUGAGUAUGAACUUAUUUAGCAUAAAAAAAAUGUUUUAAGUUUCCAACAUUGAUAUCAUGAUUUAAUUAAUUACAUUAUAACAGAUGAUGCUUUAUAACAAUGGCGGAAAACAAUCAUGCAUAUACACCUUGGUGCGAAUUCGAAUAAAAAUAAUUGGACUCAAUUAUGAGCAAAUUGCAUUUGUGAGGAGCGUCAACUAUAAAUAUAAAAGCCAAGCUACAUCAUUAUAGCACAUAUAAAUACAACAUUUCCGGAUCGUGAGAAGAGUCAUAUGACCCUCCUAGGCUUUAACUGGCUCUGCCAAUAGUCAUAAUACAAGCGACUGGAAUUUUUUUUUAAGUAUCCAAUCACUUGCAUUUUGACACUUGAUGUACCGGAUCGUAUUCAUGGUACAUUGAAAAAUCUCUUCUAACUAAACAGCAAACAAUCAACCUCAUUGAAUUUUGGGUUUUACUGAAAUCAUCAUUACGUUUUCUUUUGAUUUUUUUUCUUUUCUGUUUGGGCGUGCUAUCCACACACCCAUUUUAACAUCUUACACACCCUUGUUAGUUUAUAUUUAAUCUUCUUCAAUUCAUUCGAUUAGACAACCAAAAGUUGAGAACAUUGUAUAUGAGGUAAAAAGGAAUGUGUGAAUAACACCACCCAAAUAUUUAAGAAAAGGGCAAAAUUUCUUUUGAUUCAUUCAAUUGUUUUCUUUUCAUAAAAAAAUUUAAUUAAAUGCAUAAGUAACUAUGGUUUGUUAAAUAGAUAUGUGACAUGAUUCUUGAGGGAGAUGGAGGUAACUGUGACCUUGAGUUAGGGGGUUGAGGGGGGUGGGGUAACUGUCACCUUGAGUUAGCGGGUUGAGCGAAAAUAGACUCGAUAGAGUUUGAGUUCGAGUUGAGAAGCACUUCAAAUAUAAUACUAAAAGACGAGAGCUGGCUUGAAAAGCACUUCAAAUGAGCUCUGGUUUUUUGAGACCCUAAUGUCAACCCAGCAAAGAGAUUGAAUACAACUUAAAAUAUAGACAAUCAAGUCGAAAGUUUUAUACACGUCUAAAGUUGAACAUUUUUCCCUUUUAUUUUAGAAAGGAAAAAACAGAAGGUUUGGACUUUGUAUAUGUGAAGAAAUGAAACAUUUACAUAUUUGGCAUUUGCAUAUUUGGUUGUAUCUCUUCGAUGAUUAAAGGGAAAAAAAAAUAUUAGAUGGUAGUUUAACAUUGUCAUGUGACAUAAUUCGUUCAUUUUAUUGGUCAGAAUAAAGUUUAUUUUUUCUAAAAAAGGUUUCUUAACUAAUAAGGAAUUCUCACAGGGUUUUGACUACAAACUUUAUGGGCUAUAAGUUAUGAUUUUAGUCCCCGUAUUUGUGGCAAAAUAAUUACAUUUUGGCUCCUAUAGUUUCAAUUUUUAUGACCUAAUCUUGUAUUUUACUAAUUGUUACAUUUAAGACAAUAACUUAUGAAAAAAAUUUGAUUUACACCCUCAACUUUUGUCGUCCUGUACUCUUUUUGCUAUGUUUAUGUCCCUUGAUUUAUUUUUGAUUUAUUCAAUCUUGUGGCUAAAAACAAAAGCAAGAAUACAUGAUAAGUGAGAGUUUGAAAAUUAUUUCCAAACUUAAUUCCAUCAUGUUUUCGUUGAAAAUGUGUUAUGUCACCCGCAAGGUAAUUAUGACGAAAAAGUUGAGAUGAAAUUAAAUUGUCUUUGAAUUACAACCAUUAAUAAAUUGUAAAGAUUGAAUAGAGACAACCACAUCAAGUGGUCCAAUGGUAAGGGCAUAGGCUUGACGUCCUAAUAAACAAAAAAUAUGAGAGGUUCUGUGCUUGAUGCUCCAAGUUGGUGAGACUAUUUGACCCUGGUCACGAGCAAGGUGAAAUUCUUUAUAGCCUUUCUGAAUUCAGAAGUGAUGGAUAACCAUGGUUUGCCAUUAGUUGUUCUUCUUUUUACAAAAGAAAGAAAUAGAGACAAUUGAAACUACAUUGACCGAAAUGGAACUUCACUCAACCACUAAAAGCAUGAUUUGGCUAUCACGCAGACCAUCAACGAUGUUCUUGUUGGCGUGGUUUCGUCAGGGCUGUCAAGGUACCUAGAUCACCAAACACCAAAUGGUAAUUAAUGUCAUUCUUGAAUCUGUUCUAGUGCUUGUGCUUCCCAUUUGAAAUAGAUCAAGUAUCAAUGGCAAUCACGAUAACCAAGUUAUAGCUAAACUUAAUUGUCCAGCUCUGCAUGACGGAAUUCGAAUUACAGGCCUAGCUAUGGUCAAUUUAAGAAAGCAACCUGGAUUGCAGGUUCGUCGUGAUUUAUAAACUUUCAUUUAUAUUAUAGGGUAAAAGAUUGUUUACUACCUCAUGUUUCGUGGUUUUCAACAUUUAGUACAUCAAGUUUUUUUCAUCUCAGAUUCAUAUCUAAAGUGUAAAUUUUGGGACAGUCUCAUACAUCCGUUAGUCAAACUGUUAAAUCUUUCGUUAAUUGUGACGUGGCGCUCAUGUGAACAAUGAUUGGGCGCCAUGUGUCAUCCACGUUUUUUUUCUCUUCUUCUUCUUCUCCUUCCUCCGAAUCUGGGGAAGUUUUUUUUUUCUUCUUCUUCUUCCUCCUUCCUUCCUCAUCUUCUUCUUCUUCCUCCUCCCCGAAUUUGGACCUUUUUUUUUUUUUCUUCUUUCUCCUUCUUCCUCUGACUGCAACUUUUUUUUUCUUCCUCCUUCUCCUUCUUCCUGAAGAAGAAGAAGAAGAAGAAGAGAAGAAAUUUAUAAAAAAAAAGUUGCAGUCGGAGGAAGAAGGAGAAGGAGGAAGAAAUAAAAAAUAAAAAAUAAAAGUUGUAGGAAGAAGAAGGAGGAAGAAGAAGUGGAUGACAUGUGACGCCCAGUCAUUGUCUACAUGGGCGUCACGUCACAAUUAACGGUAGAUUUAACAGUUUGACUAACGGAUGUAUGAGACUGUCCCAAAAUUUACACUUUUGGUAUGAAUCUGAGACGAAAAAAACUUGAUGUAUUAAAUGUUGAAAAUCACGAAACAUGAGGAUAGUAAAUAGUCUUUUACCCUAUAUUAUAUAUAAUUGGUUGUUUUAAGAACUUCUAUAUGGUUCUUGCUAUAUUUUUUCUUUCUAAUUUUUCAGGCGAAUCCUAACUUACUGAUGCAUAACUGAGUUUUGGUAUAUAUUUUCAGGAGGCCUACUCACAAUUUUCCCAAAACUAACAAAUUAAUAAGCAUACGAAACACAAGAAAAUUAAUUGCAUAAACGGCACCUGGACCUUUUUAACUUUCAUACAAUUACCACGUAAACUAACCACUCCGAUUCAAACAAGUUUCAUCCGCAAUUCUGCCAUAUGUGAUCGCGUGACUUGCACGAUGAUUCCUUUUUCUUAGUUCAGAGUUCAACCACCAGCUUCGUCCAAACAAACUAAUUUUUAGAUACACAUAUCCCAGAGUUGAAACUUGAAAGCAUAGGGAAAUGUUAGGUUAGGCUUAUGAGAUGCUGCAGUAAGAUUUUGAUAGUCAGUGAGAUGCAUGUUAGGUUAGGUUUGUGCUUGUUGAUGAGUUUGCAGGAAGUGGUCCGGAAUGGCUGAGGUUUAUUUGGGGGGGGGGGGGGGGGAAUAGCUUAAUUCCCGCGCAUAUGUUCUAGCAUGCAAGUCUCUUGAUCAUAUUUGACGGAAUUGUACACGGAAAAUUAUUAGAUGAAGGUUCAAUAUUAUUAUCAAAUGAUUUUAAGUAUGUUAGUUGUAUCUACAACAGCUACAAACCCGUAGUACAGAAGUUACUUUGUAUCUAUAAUUAAUUAAGACGAGAAGACUUAGCAUAAAACAAACCACCACGACCAAAUGAAACAAGGAACUCCCCCAGAAAAAUAAAUACAACAACAACAACAACAAAGCCUUUUCCCACUAAGUGGGGUCGGCUAUAUGAAUCCUAGAACGCCAUUGCGCUCGGUUUUGUGUCAUGUCCUCCGUUAGAUCCAAGUACUCAAGUCUUUUCUUAGGGUCUCUUCCAAAGUUUUCCUAGGUCUUCCUCUACCCCUUCGGCCCUGAACCUCUGUCCCGUAGUCACAUUUUCGAACCGGAGCGUCAGUAGGCCUUCUUUGCACAUGUCCAAACCACCGGAACCAAUUUUCUCUCAUAUUUCCUUCAAUUUUGGCUACUCCUACUUUACCUCGGAUAUCCUCAUUCCCAAUCUUAUCCUUUCUCGUGUGCCCAUACAUCCCACGAAGCAUCCUCAUCUCUGCUACACCCAUUUUGUGUACGUGUUGAUGCUUCACCGCCCAACAUUCUGUGCCAUACAACAUCGCUGGCCUUAUUGCCGUCCUAUAAAAUUUUCCCUUGAGCUUAAGUGGCCUACGACAGUCACACAACACGCCGGAUGAACUCUUACACUUCAUCCAUCCAGCUUGUAUUCUAUGGUUGAGAUAUCCAUCUAAUUCUCCAUUCUCUUGCAAGAUAGAUCCUAGGUAGCGAAAACGGUCACUUUUUGUGAUCUUCGCUAGAUUGCUCCGGUUAUUAGUGUGGAUAAGUAUAUAAAUGGAUAGAGAUGGGAAAGCAAACACAAGAUGUACGUGGUUCACCCAGAUUGGCUACGUUCACGGAAUAGAGGAGUUCUCAUUAAUUGUGAAGGGUUUACACAAGUACAUAGGUUCAAGCUCUCCUUUAGUGAGUACAAGUGAAUGAUUUAGUACAAAUGACAUUAGGAAAUAUUGUGGGAGAAUGAUCUCGUAACCACGAAACUUCUAAGUACCGGAGUGUGGUAUCGUCUUGACUUGCCUUAUCUGUCUCAUAGGUAGAUGUGGCAUCUUCUCUGGAAGUACUCUUCCUCCCUCUAGGGGUGGUAUCUGUAACUGGUGGAGAUGCACAAGGUAAUGUAUCAAUUUCACUUGAAGCUUACUUGUAGUUUCAGGCUUGGUCAAACGCGAUACAAACCAUGUAGUAGGAGUCCCCCAAGUCGCCGAGCUAGGGGAUUUGCUGAAAGAGGUGACAGACAAGGUAAGCAAUCAGAGCUUCGGCUGAUUGUUCACAUUCUCCCUAUCUUGCAGGCAGCAUGAAGGAUAAAGAGAAGAAAAAUGAGAAGAGAUGAUAUGGGAUACUUUUGCUUUUGAAGAAGUAACUUUCCAUAGGCUUAUUCUUGAACUGGGCUGGAGGGUUUUCUGGUUUCCUCAAGAGUAUAAGGCCGACUGAAGAAUUUGAGGGUCAAAACAAGUCCAGCAAAUCUAGAGUACGUUCGACCCUGCUGAUAUGAGAUACUUUUGCUUUUGACAGAGUAGUGGAUGUAUCGGCACGUGUGCUGUUACGCUUGUCUCCACAUGCUUCAUUGUAUCCUUCUCACUUGCCCUAUCUGUUUCUCAGGCAGAUGCGGUAUCUUCCCUGGAAGCAUAAGAUGUUGAAGAUGAGUACUCGAGAGCAAUGCCAGGUAAGUAAUCAGGUAAGGGGUUCCAGGCAGUCAGUUCCUGGCUGGAAGCUUGAUUCCAAGUGCUGACUGAUUGCUCUCUUUCUCCCUGUCUUGCAGGUAAGAACAAGGCCAAAGGAAAAGACAGGGAAAAAGCAUGAUAUGGGAUACUCUUGCUUUUAACCCUGAUGAUAUGAGAUAUUCUUGCUCUAGUAUAGCUUGUUUACAGAGGUAUUAUCGGGGGGAAAGAAAGCUGAAUAUUUCGAAAGGCUUCGUUAAGAGUGCCUUCUCAGAUAAGAGGAAGGGUUGAGCAUUUUUGCAGGUCUGCCUGUCCGUUGGGGAUGGAGGUCGACAUAUAUAGGAGUCUCCCUAACAUCAAGUAAUAAUGCUAUUCCUUUACCCUGCUUGGUCAUAGCACGGUAGUGGGAGCUGCCAGCUUCACAUGUUUUAACUCUGUCAGAGCACUUUGAAAAAGUGGUCUGUGGUAUCUGGAAAGUUGAUGUUGCGUGUGAAGAUUACAGACAAGCUUUAUCCAAGGAGAUCCAGCUCUUGAAGUUGGGAAAGUGGUGCCUCUUCGGUUUUCGAACAAGCAAUCUUGUCGGGGAUCUGGCUCUCAAGAUUCGAAGAACGAUGCCUCUUCGAUUUUUGAGAAAGCAAUCCUGCUAGGGGUCUGGCUCUCGAGAUUCGGAGAGCGGUGUCUCUUCGAUUUUUGAGAAAGUAAUCAUGUUGGGAGUCUGGCUCUCGAGAUUCGGAGGGCGGUGCCUCUUCGAUUUUGGAGCAAGCAAUCUUGUCGGGAGUGUUUUCUCGAAUGUGAGUAAAGGUUGGGCAUGUUUGCUAGUCUACCUUGCCACGAAGCACAGAGGUUGACACACAGGGACUCUCUAAUUAUCCAGCAGUGGUACUGUUCCUUUACCCUCUCUUCAAUUUUUGAGAAAGUAAUCAUGUUGGGAGUCUGGCUCUCGAGAUUCGGAGGGUGGUGCCUCUUCGAUUUUGGAGCAAGUAAUCUUGUCGGGAGUGUUUUCUCGAAUGUGAGUAAAGGUUGGGCAUGUUUGCUAGUCUACCUUGCCACGAAGCACAGAGGUUGACACACAGGGACUUUCCAAUUAUCCAGCAGUGGUACUGUUCCUUUACCCUCUCUUCGAUUUUUGAGAAAGUAAUCAUGUUGGGAGUCUGGCUCUCGAGAUUCGGAGGGCGGUGCCUCUUCGAUUUUGGAGCAAGCAAUCUUGUUGGGAGUGUUUUCUCGAAUGUGAGUAAAGGUUGGGCAUGUUUGCUAGUCUACCUUGCCACGAAGCACAGAGGUUGACAUACAGGGAC
rnacentral:lncRNA from 1 species